GACAUAUUAUGAAAAUUCCACUUUUGUAGUGCUUCUACACAUUAGUUUGGGUAUCUGGCAUGUCUACCGUCCCAAAAACUCUGGAAAAAAAUCACUCCCGCGAUUUGUUGUGGUUCCUCUAUUUCAGAAACUAUGUGCUAAAGGGCGUCCAAUGGAAUUUCCCCCGAAAUAGACGUCAUAGUCGAAAAAUGCCCAUUUAGUACAUUCCCCCAUAGCUCUAUGCACUCCCCCACUACCACUCGACCCACCCCUAGAUGGACCCUCCCACUUUAUAUAAGCUCGGUCCACCGGUAUCCGCCAUUUCAUUCUUGCAAGCCUUGGAAACACUUGGAUUAGCUAACUAGCAGCAUGAAUCGGUGGUCGGCUGCAAACAUGUCUUCAUGUGACUCCAGCUUCAGAAGACACAAGAUUGAGAUGGAUUGAGUUCAUAUAUGAUGGCAACGUUCCUGCCACCACUUUGAAUCUGACUUUUUUAUCAACCUGGGCCAAUAUAACGCUGGAUUCUCUAAAAGGUUGUUAUUGAAAGAGGGGUCGGUGCCAUCUUUCCAUGGCAAUACUGAAGACGAGGGAAAUGCAAGCACAUCUGUUCACGGUGCUAGGCUACAUCACGUAGCAUGCCAGACGGACCCACCACAGAUGCGCACACAUGGAACGCAGCUUUCUAUGAAAACACUGCGACCUCACUACAAAAGUACAGGCACACAGAAAACUGUGCUGCACUGAUGUUGGUGUUGGGACCUCAGCUGUAAGAGACCUUGCUUGGAGGAGGGAGAGGACAAGAUGUGACAUUACAUGGAUAACCUGUUGGACCUCAUCUUUCACGAGGUUUUUCAGGACCCGGCCCCAUAUGUGAAUGAGGUGCUGAAGAUCUCAAAACCUGAGGAUCUCUCUGCCUAGUAUGAGAAACCUGACAAGCAGGAAGUUAUAGCCAGCUAUGUGUCGAGUUUCAAUCAAGGGCAGGUCUGAACCCUGUAUAACUUCCCUGAGCAUCAGGGAACACUCUGCGUAUCUGGAGCACCGAGCAGGAGGGCAGGACCACCCUGAUUCUCCGGCCCAGAUAGCCUCAACACCAGCUAACAAAGCUUCUCUACGACAAAUACCUGUAACGGCUGAGCAAAGUUCACAUUGUAUUUAGAGAAUAAAGGUGACACACAAAUAUAAAGUGUUCCUUUGUUUACAGUAUGGCUACUGAUGGCACAAAUUGUAUUUUUGAAAUCAAUGUUUUCAUUAUACUUGGUAUUUUAUUCUUACACGUGUAAGAUGAGCAGUUAGCAAAGUAAUACACAGGGAAGAGUAAUUUAUGUAUUUUAUUCCUCAGUCAUAUUUGUAUUGCAGAAAUGACUGAUAUCUCAUGCAUAAAAAAAACAAAACUUACUGCUCUAUUCCUCUUAGACAUAAAGGCCCAUAAUCUGCCCUAUAGAUGUUGAAUGCAUUCUGUAGUGAGAACACAUUCAAACACACAGGCUAAUUAAUGGAGGUAAAAAACGUUAUGUCCUACACCUCCAUGAGAGGGGG